CAUGCACUAUCCCCACGAGGCCACGACCCCCACCCUAUGCGUCGGCAUCGCCGCGACCGACCAUCCCAGGCUCCCAGCCUCCGCCGCCGCGUCCAUCACGCGCCUCCAGUCCUCGCCCACCGCCAAGUGCCUCCGAUCCUUAUCCUCCACGUGCCCCAAUCGCCUCCGGUCCUUCUGCUCCACGAGCCUCAAUCGCGUCGCCGCAGGAGCCACUGCCUCCGUAUGCCGCGGAGGCAAGGUCGGCCCUGAGCGGGUGCAUCCGGGGGAGAAUUGGUGCAACCUCACUGGGCCCCAAAAUCCAAGGAUCCCCCGGCAGAGUAGGUAUGUGCUAGAUUGAAUCACUCAUGCGAUUAAUGACCGAGUCAUCGGCGGCGCUGCCGUCUCCUUCGUCUUCCCAUUCGGUUUCGGUUCCUCCUUGCCCAAUCUCCAUUGGCUGAUGAAAGGGGUUGCCUUCUGCUCGCUGUAGUUUAUUUGCCUGUUUUGCCGCGGCUGAGAACAAGAUCUUGAUUGAUAUUAUACAAAUAUAUCUCCUCGAUUCGCAUUGUCUCCAUAGAAUCGAGAUACCAAAGAGGAUUUGACUGAGUAGAAAUCAUCUUCUACUUGACUGAAGUACCUGACUGAACCAAAAGGGGAUUUGCUUCCUACUGUGGCGACAUCCAGUCCCGGGACCAGGUGUUCUUGUUUCAACUUAUGCCAUAUUUUUUUGUAAUCUUUGUGUGCUAAGAUGUCAACUAAAAAGUAUUUUUGUACAGGAAUUAUGCAAACGAGCAGAUGAGUUAUAGAAUCCCAAAAGGAGCAAAUGUAGCACUUGACAAAAGAAAAUUACUAUUUCCUCCGAUUCAUAUUACUUGCCGUUAGUAUGGAUGUAUCUACAACUAAAAUAUCUCUUGAUAUAUCUACAUAGAAAUAAUUAAUAUGGAUUGAAGGGAGUAGUACAAAUACUAUUGCUAAAAUCAUAUCUUGAAACCUCUAUCUAUUGUACAAGUACAACCAAAUAAGGGAGGCCUAUAUCAAAUAUCGACUUUAUAAACUACAUCUGUCGAUAAAAAAAAUGUCGCAAGUUUAUCUAAAUUUAGAUAUAUCUAGAUAGUAUGUGCUCAAGGCGUGAGUACAACCUUAACUUGUUUACAUGAAGCCAAUUUCGGGGUUUCUACAUCUAUUCUUCAUAUUGAGAUUGCAACGAAAUACUGACCAAAUUGAUGCAAUAACUUUAUCUGCUAUUCAUAAUUUCAUAUAUGAGAUGCCAACCAAUUUUUUUUAAUUCAUUUUUUUGUUUCUCCUAAAAUGAGAGAAGAAAAGGUUAAAUGAACUUUCAAUUUUCUCCGUUCAUGUCGUUCAGUUAUUGCAAGAUUUUCUUUAUUACAAAAAUGAACUCAUAUGUUCCCUGACACAAGUGUAGUGUGGUCAAUUCAAAGUAUAGGUUCAGUUAUAGUUCAUUUCUAACAAUAUGCCAAGAAUAGUGUAUAUAUGUACACAUUUCAGCAAUCUCCGCCGACCUGCACGCAGUCGCUGCUGAUAUGCGGGCCGCCGCUGUGCUGACCAGCGGGCUACCCCGCCACCUGCCCCUUGCAAUUGCCGCCGAACUGCAGGCAGGUCCACCGCAUGGAGCGUUGAUCCUCUCAAUCGCUCACGAGAGAUUUUGGGCAUCCCGCUUCGCUGCUGCGUCGCCCUUCCACCCGGCCAUUGCAAUUGCCUCCGAACUGCAGGACGGUGCACUGCAUGGAGCGUCGAUCCUCGCAAUCGCCCAUGGGAGAUUUGGGGCAUACCGCUUCGCGGCCACCAUCUUCUUCAAAACCUACGUUGAUGAUCUUGGGUUCUGAUAAAAUGCAGGAGGCAAUGAGGUUUAUGGCCAUGUCAAUGUCGUGGCAAUACUUUAUUCAAGCGGAGCUAAAGGUGAGUGGUAGUUUUUUCAGUAUAUGUCUACAGCUUGAGUCUGACCUGGAAAGGAUUUCCAUAUUGCCAUUCCUAUCAUCUUUAUGCUACACAGAAGUAAAUAAUCUGCUGAGCAUGGUGUGUGGUGGCUGGGAUUUUAUGACUUUCAGUGUCUGUUGAGCAUCUUAAUUAUUUUGCACAACCCGUACCACCAACUCUAGAUAUAUUUACAUAGUUGGUAAUUCGUGAGUCAUCUGAGAGAUAUUACUGCUAUGUUACCCUCAGUUUGGGCUUGCAUACUGUUAUCUCUUGGACUGGCAAAGGCAGUCUUUGCUUCGACAUGUUGUUCUGCUGAGUUUUUUUGGGGAGGCUAUUUGGGCACCAGACUACAUUUUAUUACUAUGCGCAUGUGUGGUAGAAUUGAAUGAUCUUCCAAUUUUGAAUCCUGCUCUAAAUGACAAUAAAUCAGACUACAGAUUAGAGAUCGUCUCACGUGGGAUUCUUGCACGGUAUGUGUUUCAUGAUUUUUCUGAAAGGCGGACAUUGUAUGGUGCUAUCUUCUUUCAACCCGUGUGUCACAUUUUGAUGUCAGUUAUCUGGUGCAAACGACUAAUUAAUCAGACAUAUCUGGUGCAAAUGAAUGAAAUAAAGAUCCAUCCAGCGUCAAUUUCUUCAUUCUUUUCCUGGUAAGAAACACUAAAACCAAUUAUUUAUUUCAUCUCGACGGCAGUGGUCGUUGAGCAGCAAGUCAUGUACACUACCAAAGAAGACUCCUCUAUUUGUAGACUAUUCCAGGCUUUUUUUUUCCAAUGAUCCUUACAUUUUUCAUUGUUACUUAGGCUCACCAGCUUUGUUAGCACAUAUAUCUAUUUUGAUUGAAAUUAGUAUACAACUCAAGUCAUUUGUGCAGCCAGCGGUGCAGAUCAUUGUAUUGCUUGGGUAGCUCCACCUGAUUUUGCACAAGUGGAUGCAAUGUAGAUAUCACAUAGUUCUAUAGAACCAUGUCCUUGAUUUUCUGGCAUCAACAGAUGCUAUGGAAAUCGAUGAUUUUUUUCAUUUUAUGUCCUCAAUUUACAAAAUAACAUUGAUAAUAAUGACAUAACAAUUUAGUUAUGCCUUUCUAAUUGAAUUAUAUUAGUUUACUUUACCAGGAAAUAUUAUUUUAUUCAACACGUGCAUGAUUACGAUAUUACCAAAGGCCAAAGGCCAUAUAUACAUGUAUAUGUGGUAGUCCAAAGGAUAGAAAAUGGAAAGCCAAAAGCCAACAUAAGUACACAUAAUUAUAACUCUAACAGCUAUUACUGCUUGACACUAAUGAAAAUUGUUCUGAAGUAGUGAGAAACUGAGUGUUAGUCUUAUAGCAAUAGUGUCAAGCUGCUCUUGAAGAACUUGAAAAAUGAACAUAAACAUUUCAAAUAGUUAAUCAAAUGCAGAUACAUUCAUGUUGGAACCCUGUGCUUAUGUUCUUAACUUCUCAUUUACUUGGAAGAUGUCGAAGGGGCAGAAGAACAAAUUCAUUGCACAAUCUUGCUCUUCUGAAGGUGAUUUGAAGAUCAGAUCCCUUCAUUUCACUAUACUAUUUUUAGACUAUCGACAAUCUUGGACGGAGGGAAUACUAAUUGUAGAGAAUGGUUCACUGUAGUUAAGAGUCAUUUUAGUUAAGAGUCAUUUCUUUGGUCGGGCUAAACUUACAAAAGUACGCUGGGAGUUGCUUACUCCUAACAUUGAUCUUUGGUUUUAGUGAGGAAGCAUGCUGUAUUACGAGUUUUGGACUAUCCAAAUUCUGAAAUGUCUAGAAAAUUCAGCCACCUGUCCAGCUGAAUACGUAAGUUCCUCUUUUCAGCCAUCUGUCAAGAAAGAACAUAAUUGAUUUCUGGCAAUUGUAUGAAUUUUCUUACAAUUUUUGUUGCUUAGCCUGAUAUUGACAGUACUGUCUGGUUUAAACAUGAACCUUGUCCUUCCUUUUUCUAAUUAACAUUUGUUGUUUAAGUUAACAUCAGUACAUUAUUAUGGGUGAUAUGACAUGUGUGUGUAUUAUGCCAUGUUUGGUAAUGGCAAGUUCUAAAAUCUUUUUCUGUGUGUGUUGGUGAUGCUGGAAAUCUAAUACGGUUGUCGGUUGUAUCGUUUGUUUCUUUUUCAUUUCCUGUGAAGUGUGCUUCUUUGUUCUUGCUAAUUGAAUACCGAUGUCCCAGUUCCUUUUGGUAUUCUAUUUGCCUUGCAGCAAACAUGAUAUGUCUUCUUUUACCCCUAUGGUGCUUGAUCUGGUAGUUAAAUAUGAUCCCAGUUUAUGUUCAUGCUUUCCUAUAUGACAUGUUAUUGCUGUUUUAAUUCCAUUCUAUAGUACCUGAUACCUCCUCUCAGCUACAGAUCAAUACGAUCCCUAGAAGCAUGCUUCGGUUUUUUCAUGUGAUGGUUCAAUUGUUGCUGUAAAAAGUUUGAUUUGAUAAUUAUGGGAAUCUCCAUAUGUUAAGCUCUUAGUACUCCCUUUGUCCUGCAUUGGAUGUCUUAGAGUUAUCUAAAUUUGAAUGUAUCUAGGCAUAAGUGUGGGAUGGAUGGAGUACUAUUCUUAGAGAUUGUUUCUAUGUAAUUAAGAGUUACUUCUUUGGUCAGGCUGAACUUACAAAAGUACGACGACAGCUGGUUACCCCUAAAACCUAAGUGUGGUGAUUUUGCCGGUGAGGGAUUCAAUGUGACAAAAAGUGGAGAUGCACAUGUGGUUUUGUGGGGUUUCCUUCGGUUUGGAAAUCUGCAUUAUUGAAGAUGCUGAGAGGAACCUUUUCGAAGGUCUGCAGUAAUUGAGAUUGUAUAGGCGAGAUUUUUCGAGAUUGAUUGUGUUAAAAUAGAGUGGCGUUUUUUUAUAUUGUGUCAAACCCAAGUUAUGCACAUAUCUAUUCAAAAUGGGUUCUCCUAUCCAAAUCA